rnacentral:rRNA from 2 species
CGUGCUUGCUCCCGGAUGUUAGCGGCGGACGGGUGAGUAACACGUGGGUAACCUGCCUGUAAGACUGGGAUAACUCCGGGAAACCGGAGCUAAUACCGGAUAGUUCCUUGAACCGCAUGGUUCAAGGAUGAAAGACGGUUUCGGCUGUCACUUACAGAUGGACCCGCGGCGCAUUAGCUAGUUGGUGGGGUAAUGGCUCACCAAGGCGACGAUGCGUAGCCGACCUGAGAGGGUGAUCGGCCACACUGGGACUGAGACACGGCCCAGACUCCUACGGGAGGCAGCAGUAGGGAAUCUUCCGCAAUGGACGAAAGUCUGACGGAGCAACGCCGCGUGAGUGAUGAAGGUUUUCGGAUCGUAAAGCUCUGUUGUUAGGGAAGAACAAGUGCGAGAGUAACUGCUCGCACCUUGACGGUACCUAACCAGAAAGCCACGGCUAACUACGUGCCAGCAGCCGCGGUAAUACGUAGGUGGCAAGCGUUGUCCGGAAUUAUUGGGCGUAAAGGGCUCGCAGGCGGUUUCUUAAGUCUGAUGUGAAAGCCCCCGGCUCAACCGGGGAGGGUCAUUGGAAACUGGGAAACUUGAGUGCAGAAGAGGAGAGUGGAAUUCCACGUGUAGCGGUGAAAUGCGUAGAGAUGUGGAGGAACACCAGUGGCGAAGGCGACUCUCUGGUCUGUAACUGACGCUGAGGAGCGAAAGCGUGGGGAGCGAACAGGAUUAGAUACCCUGGUAGUCCACGCCGUAAACGAUGAGUGCUAAGUGUUAGGGGGGUUUCCGCCCCUUAG